UACGGAGGGUGCGAGCGUUAAUCGGAAUUACUGGGCGUAAAGGGUGUGCAGGCGGUUGCUUAAGUUAGAUGUGAAAUCCCCGGGCUUAACCUGGGAAUUGCAUUUAAAACUGGGCGGCUGGAGUCUUGUAGAGGGGGGUAGAAUUCCACGUGUAGCGGUGAAAUGCGUAGAGAUGUGGAGGAAUACCGGUGGCGAAGGCGGCCCCCUGGACAAAGACUGACGCUCAAACACGAAAGCGUGGGGAGCAAACAGG
rnacentral:rRNA from 1 species